rnacentral:sRNA from 1 species
GAGCUCAAAUUUAUAAUCUGGCACCUUCUGUGUCCUAGUUGGAAUCUCUUUAAAUGUUUUCCGCGUUGGACCGCACACAAGUCUGUUGGAAUACCCCGGCAUCUGGUGAAACCCCCGUAUAUGGAGCGGACGCCCAGCGCUUUGUGAUACAUUUUCAAAGAGUCGAGUUGCUUGGGAAUGCACUCAUAUUGGGUGGACAAUUCCAUCUAAAGCUAAAUAUUGGCGAGAGACCGAUAGCUAACAAGUACCGUGAGGGAAAGAUGAAAAGCUCUUUGAAAAGAAAGUUAACAGUACGUGAAAUUGUUGGAAGGGAAACGCUUGAAUUCUCACUUGCUUGCCUAGCAAUCCGUUUGCCGGCCCCCAUCUGUUCCGGGAUAGAUAAUGGUAGAGAGAAGGUAGCAGUUUCGGCUGUGUUAUAGCUCUCUGCUGGAUACAUCUUGGGGGACUGAGGAACGCAGUGUGCCUUUGGCGGGGGUUUCGACCUCUUCACACUUAGGAUGCUGGUGGAAUGGCUUUAAACGACCCGUCUUGAAC